GACGAACGCUGGCGGCGUGCUUAACACAUGCAAGUCGAACGGAAAGGCCCUGCUUUUGUGGGGUGCUCGAGUGGCGAACGGGUGAGUAACACGUGAGUAACCUGCCCUUGACUUUGGGAUACUUCAGGAAACUGGGGCUAAUACCGGAUAGGAGCUCCUGCUGCAUGGUGGGGGUUGGAAAGUUUCGGCGGUUGGGGAUGGACUCGCGGCUUAUCAGCUUGUUGGUGGGGUAGUGGCUUACCAAGGCUUUGACGGGUAGCCGGCCUGAGAGGGUGACCGGCCACAUUGGGACUGAGAUACGGCCCAGACUCCUACGGGAGGCAGCAGUGGGGAAUAUUGCACAAUGGGCGGAAGCCUGAUGCAGCAACGCCGCGUGCGGGAUGACGGCCUUCGGGUUGUAAACCGCUUUCGCCUGUGACGAAGCGUGAGUGACGGUAAUGGGGAAAGAAGCACCGGCUAACUACGU
rnacentral:rRNA from 1 species